AUUGAACGCUGGCGGCAUGCCUUACACAUGCAAGUCGAACGGCAGCACGGGAGCAAUCCUGGUGGCGAGUGGCGAACGGGUGAGUAAUAUAUCGGAACGUGCCCAGUCGUGGGGGAUAACGCAGCGAAAGCUGUGCUAAUACCGCAUACGAUCUAUGGAUGAAAGCGGGGGAUCGCAAGACCUCGCGCGAUUGGAGCGGCCGAUAUCAGAUUAGGUAGUUGGUGGGGUAAAGGCCCACCAAGCCAACGAUCUGUAGCUGGUCUGAGAGGACGACCAGCCACACUGGAACUGAGACACGGUCCAGACUCCUACGGGAGGCAGCAGUGGGGGAUUUUGGACAAUGGGCGAAAGCCUGAUCCAGCGACGCCGCGUGGAGGACGAAGCCCUUCGGGGUGUAAACUCCUUUUCUCAGGGAAAAGGAUGAUGGUACCUGAGGAAUAAGCCCCGGCUAACUACGUGCCAGCAGCCGCGGUAACGGAGUAGUACA
rnacentral:rRNA from 1 species